AGACAUUGACUGACUUAUCAACAAACCUGAUCAUGAAUGGGCCCAAAGUCUGGGAAGAGAAGAUAAACCCAGAAGGUCAGCAGUUUCAGGGAGAAACAAACAAGGUAAAACUCAACUGUACAUAGGAUAAUGUGCUAAUACAGAAGAAUGUGAAGAUAGCUAAAGAUUACGUUGACUCCAG
rnacentral:lncRNA from 1 species